AGUGAACGCUGGCGGUAGGCCUAACACAUGCAAGUCGAACGGCAGCACAGUAAGAGCUUGCUCUUACGGGUGGCGAGUGGCGGACGGGUGAGGAAUACAUCGGAAUCUACUUUUUCGUGGGGGAUAACGUAGGGAAACUUACUCUAAUACCGCAUACGACCUACGGGUGAAAGCAGGGGAUCUUCUGACCUUGCGCGAUUGAAUGAGCCGAUGUCGGAUUAGCUAGUUGGCGGGGUAAAGGCCCACCAAGGCGACGAUCCGUAGCUGGUCUGAGAGGAUGAUCAGCCACACUGGAACUGAGACACGGUCCAGACUCCUACGGGAGGCAGCAGUGGGGAAUAUUGGACAAUGGGCGCAAGCCUGAUCCAGCCAUACCGCGUGGGUGAAGAAGGCCUUCGGGUUGUAAAGCCCUUUUGUUGGGAAAGAAAAGGAGCAGGUUAAUACCCCGCUGUUCUGACGGUACCCAAAGAAUAAGCACCGGCUAACUUCGUG
rnacentral:rRNA from 1 species